GACGAACGCUGGCGGCGUGCUUAACACAUGCAAGUCGAACGGAAAGGCCCUGCUUUUGUGGGGUGCUCGAGUGGCGAACGGGUGAGUAACACGUGAGUAACCUGCCCUUGACUUUGGGAUAACUUCAGGAAACUGGGGCUAAUACCGGAUAGGAGCUCCUGCUGCAUGGUGGGGGUUGGAAAGUUUCGGCGGUUGGGGAUGGACUCGCGGCUUAUCAGCUUGUUGGUGGGGUAGUGGCUUACCAAGGCUUUGACGGGUAGCCGGCCUGAGAGGGUGACCGGCAACAUUGGGACGGAGAUACGGCCCAGACUCCUACGGGAGGCAGCAGUGGGGAAUAUUGCACAAUGGGCGGAAGCCUGAUGCAGCAACGCCGCGUGCGGGAUGACGGCCUGCGGGUUGUAAACCGCUUUCGCCUGUGACGAAGCGUGAGUGACGGUAAUGGGUAAAGAAGCACCGGCUAACUAC
rnacentral:rRNA from 1 species